rnacentral:pre_miRNA from 1 species
UGAUGAUGAUGAUGAUGAUGAUGAUGAUGAUGAUGAUGAUGAUAAAGAUGAUGAAAGGAGAUCAUCAUCAUCAUCAUCAUCAUCAUCAUCAUCAUCAUCA